rnacentral:tRNA from 1 species
GCCCUGAUGGUGAAACGGAUGAUCAUUCCUCGCUUCGAACGAGGCGUUCCGGGUUCGAAUCCUGGUCGGGGUG